UACGUAGGUGGCAAGCGUUGUCCGGAUUUACUGGGUGUAAAGGGCGUGUAGGCGGGACUGCAAGUCAGAUGUGAAAUGUGGGGGCUCAACCCUCAAGCUGCAUUUGAAACUGUGGUUCUUGAGUGAUGGAGAGGCAGGCGGAAUUCCUAGUGUAGCGGUGAAAUGCGUAGAUAUUAGGAGGAACACCAGUGGCGAAGGCGGCCUGCUGGACAUUAACUGACGCUGAGGCGCGAAAGCGUGGGGAGCAAACAGGAUUAGAUACC
rnacentral:rRNA from 1 species